GGUCGGUUCGGCGCGGAUUUUACACAGGUGUUGCAUGGCUGUCGUCAGCUCGUGUCGUGAGAUGUUGGGUUAAGUCCCGCAACGAGCGCAACCCUCAUCCUUAGUUGCCAUCAGGUAAUGCUGAGCACUUUAAGGAAACUGCCAGUGAUAAGCUGGAGGAAGAUGGGGAUGAUGUCAAGUCAUCAUGGCCUUUAUGAAGUGGGCUACACACGUGCUACAAUGGUGUCUACAGUGGGCUGCAAGGUGCGCAAGCCUAAGCUAAUCCCUAAAAGACAUCUCAGUUCGGAUUGUACUCUGCAACUCGAGUGCAUGAAGUUGGAAUCGCUAGUAAUCGUGGAUCAGCAUGCCACGGUGAAUACGUUCUCGGGUCUUGUACACACUGCCCGUCCCCCACGCCAUGG
rnacentral:rRNA from 1 species